rnacentral:rRNA from 1 species
AGCAUAUCAAUAAGCGGAGGAAAAGAAACCAACAGGGAUUGCCUCAGUAACGGCGAGUGAAGCGGCAAGAGCUCAAAUUUGAAAUCUGGCGCAAGCCCGAGUUGUAAUUUGAAGAGGAUGCCUCGGUGAAGGCGCUGGCCGAAGUUCCUUGGAACAGGACGUCGCAGAGGGUGAGAAUCCCGUGCGGCAGGCGCCGGAUCCAUGUGUGGCUCCUUCGAAGAGUCGAGUUGUUUGGGAAUGCAGCUCAAAAUGGGUGGUAAAUUUCAUCUAAAGCUAAAUAUUGGCGGGAGACCGAUAGCGCACAAGUAGAGUGAUCGAAAGAUGAAAAGCACUUUGAAAAGAGAGUUAAACAGUACGUGAAAUUGUUGAAAGGGAAGCGCUCGCGAUCAGACUCGCCUGCGGUUGAUCAACGUUCCUUCUGGUUCGUGCACUCUUCCGCUGGCGGGCCAGCAUCGGUCGGGACGGCGGGACAAAGGCGCCGGGAAUGUGGCUCUUCGGAGUGUUAUAGCCCGGCGCGCCAUGCCGCCUGCCCCGACCGAGGUCCGCGCGCAAGCUAGGAUGCUGGCUUAAUGAUCGCGAGCGACCCGUCUUGAAACACGGACCAAGGAGUCUAACAUCUAUGCGAGUUUUUGGGCGUUAAACCCAUGAGCGCAAUGAAAGUGAACGGAGGUGGGAGCCCUCGCGGGUGCACCAUCGACCGAUCCUGAUGUCUUCGGAUGGAUUUGAGUAUGAGCAUAGCUGUUGGGACCCGAAAGAUGGUGAACUAUGCCUGAAUAGGGUGAAGCCAGAGGAAACUCUGGUGGAGGCUCGCAGCGGUUCUGACGUGCAAAUCGAUCGUCAAAUUUGGGUAUAGGGGCGAAAGACUAAUCGAACCAUCUAGUAGCUGGUUCCUGCCGA